rnacentral:rRNA from 1 species
UACGUAGGGGGCAAGCGUUGUCCGGAAUCAUUGGGCGUAAAGCGCGUGUAGGCGGCUUGUAAGUCUGCUCUGAAAGCCCGGGGCUCAACCCCGGGAGGCGGGUGGAUACUGCCGAGCUCGAGUCCGGAAGAGGCGAGUGGAAUUCCUGGUGUAGCGGUGAAAUGCGCAGAUAUUGGGAGGAACACCAGUGGCGAAGGCGGCUACCUGGACCGGUUCUGACGCUGAGGCGCGAAAGCGUGGGUAGCAAACAGG